GUACACACCCCCAGCAUCUGUGCAUCACAACACUCGGUCCGGUGGUGGCUCUGCUCCUACACACACCAGGACCUGGGCCUUGAGAGGACCCUCCUUCCUGAUAUCCUCUACAGAGAUGUGGCCUUCCUCAACACGGUCGACCCCAUCUCCCAUGACCUGCUUGUGAACCUGGCCCGGGACCUGCAGUGCCCCAAGAAGCUGCCCAGAACCCCAUGCUGACAGCACCUGCAGAUGUCCUGCCAUGAGCAUCGACACAGCCCCAGGAUAUGUGGCUGUGACCAGCCACCGGACCCAGACUCCUAGUCACAGUGAGUCCCCAACCAAAACAAGGGUAUCCGCUCUGGGCCCUGCCAGCUCUGAAUGCCCAGGUCUGUGCACAGUCGGCCCCUAGGACUCUGCGCCUAGCCCACAGCCAUCACAGGAAUGGCCAGGGCUUGCAGCUGCUGUGUGUGCUGCCUGCUCCUGGGGCUGUUCACAGAGGGACUGGAUAAAGGAUGCAGUGGAGCAUGCUCAGUGCCAGCUUUGUGGGCCGCGCACCUCGGAUUCCACCCUCAGCUGGGCCUCUGCCGGAGCCCAGUUAGGACUAAGAGAGAGCCAGGUGGUGGUGCUGUAAAACAUUACAUCCCCCAGCCCUGUCAGCCCAGACCCAGACCCCGCAGGCGCAGUCUCGCUUGGAGAGUGAGAGGAAGAAGAACAUGCUGACCUGGCUUGUUCCUACUCCCUGGGAUUGGCGUCAGUGGAGCACGGCUCCCUCGAGGGGCCUGGUCUGGCCUCCUCCCCCU
rnacentral:sRNA from 1 species